AUGGGGUCCCUGUUCGUCUGUGGGCCCUCUUUGCGUUUCCUUCCUUGGCCUUCACCGUGGGUGGCCAGUUGUUUCUUUGUGCGUCAUCUUCUUCCUGAGAAAUGGUCGCUUUCCCCUAGUCUAGACACGGUAGUUCUGAGCUGUGGGCAAUUUUGUCCCCUGAAGGACAUCUGGCAGUGUUUGGUGAUGUUUUUGAUUGCUACAAUGGGACUGAGGUGAGAGAGAGUUGCUACUGUCAUACACUGGCUAGCUAGGCAUGUUUCUGAACAUGCUAAAAAUGCAUAGGACAACUUCUCAUAACCAAGAUUUACCCAGCCCAAUAUUUUUUUUUUUCAAGCUAGUAGCAUUAAGAAAAAUGAACUUUAUUUUUACUGCUUUUUUUACACUGUUAUUAUGCACUUUUCCCACCUGGCAAUGUGUUAUCUGUAAGUGCCACAACUGAUAAGGCUAGCAAAUUCAUGGGACCAUAGGACAUCCACCCAUACAUUGAUAUGUAAACUUGUUGGCCAGGUGGAGCCUCUAACUUGGUCAAGUAACAAGAGUUAAAAUGAGCAUUUAAGUGGAUAUAAAGACAAUGUAAAUAUAUACAGUUUAAGGAGGUGACAGUGCUACAAGGUGAAUGUUUGAAUGAUUAAAAAAUUAUAAACAAUAGUUGUGCCUACUUUUUUGUGAAUAGCACAGCUUUAAAAAUAGGGAAAGGAAACUCUUAAAUUAAAAAAAACUUGUUAUAAUUCCAUGAGAGGAAAAGUGGGUGAUGGAAGCUCAGAAAGGCUGCAGUGUCUCUUGUGCUCUGAGCUACGAAUCCUGUGCAACCUCUCAACUUUUCACACUGAUGGAAACUAAAUGAGAUACUUUAUCAUUUCUCCUUUUUGUAGACAAAUGAUUUGUUGUGUUUAUACAUGAUACCUGAGUCCAGAAGAUCCCCUGGAGUAGGAAAUGGCAACCCUCUCCAGUAUUCUUGCCUGGAAAAUUCCAUGGACAGAAGAGCCUGGCAGGCUACAUUCCAUGGGGUGAUAGAGUCAGAUGUGGCAGAGCACACACACACGUUCAUGAUACCUAAUCACAGGAUUUUUUUUUUUUAAUUGCUGAGAACAAUCUAUAUUCAUUUAGUUAGCCUUUUCAUUUUAAUUCAUUUAAUAGGUAGUUCUGAGCUGUGGGCAAUUUUGUCCCCUGAAGGACAUCUGGCAGUGUUUGGUGAUGUUUUUGAUUGCUACAAUGGGACUGAGGUGAGAGAGAGUUGCUACUGUCAUACACUGGCUAGCUAGGCAUGUUUCUGAACAUGCUAAAAAUGCAUAGGACAACUUCUCAUAACCAAGAUUUACCCAGCCCAAUAUUUUUUUUUUUCAAGCUAGUAGCAUUAAGAAAAAUGAACUUUAUUUUUACUGCUUUUUUUACACUGUUAUUAUGCACUUUUCCCACCUGGCAAUGUGUUAUCUGUAAGUGCCACAACUGAUAAGGCUAGCAAAUUCAUGGGACCAUAGGACAUCCACCCAUACAUUGAUAUGUAAACUUGUUGGCCAGGUGGAGCCUCUAACUUGGUCAAGUAACAAGAGUUAAAAUGAGCAUUUAAGUGGAUAUAAAGACAAUGUAAAUAUAUACAGUUUAAGGAGGUGACAGUGCUACAAGGUGAAUGUUUGAAUGAUUAAAAAAUUAUAAACAAUAGUUGUGCCUACUUUUUUGUGAAUAGCACAGCUUUAAAAAUAGGGAAAGGAAACUCUUAAAUUAAAAAAAAACUUGUUAUAAUUCCAUGAGAGGAAAAGUGGGUGAUGGAAGCUCAGAAAGGGGCAGCAGUAAAAAAGAUAUUUUGCUGCCUCAGGAUAUGAAUGGCAGUACCUUAUUUUCAACCAGUAAAGCAACAUGCAGGUAAAAUCAUUUUGGUUAGUGGAUAAAGGUGUGCUUUAAAUCGACACUA
ensembl:lncRNA